rnacentral:rRNA from 1 species
AUGCCACCUAUCAGAGAGUGUGACCACUCCAUUCCCUUGAAGAAUAACUCUGAGCCCCCUAUGGUUAGACCUUAUCGAGUCCCCCACAAGCAAAAGAAUGAAAUGGAGCAACAAGUGCAAGAGUUGUUAGAUGCUUCCAUCAUUAGGCCUAGCACUAGCCCAUAUGCUGCUCCUACCAUUCUGGUUAGGAAAAAGGAUGGUACUUGGAGGUUGUGCAUCGAUUACAGGAAGUUGAAUGCCCAAACUGUCAAGAACAAGUUCCCCAUCCCAGUUAUCGAGGAUCUCUUUGAUGAGCUGCAAGGAGCACAAUACUUCACAAAGAUUGACCUCAGGGCAGGAUAUCAUGAAGUGAGAAUGAAUACAGCUGAUAUCCACAAGACUGUGAUCAGAACAUACUUCGGCCACUUUGAGUACUUAGUUAUGCCUUUUGGGCUCACUAAUGCACCAGCAACUUUCCAAUCCCUCAUGAACAAAGUAUUUGCCAAGUACCUCAGGAAAUUUAUUCUUGUCUUCUUCGAUGAUAUCUUAGUGUACAGCAAGACGUUGCAACAACACUUGAAACAUCUGAAAAUGGUCCUGGACAUCUUGAGAGCUGAGCAACUCUUUGCCAAAAUGAGCAAAUUCAUAUUUGCUGCCCCCCAGGUGGAGUACUUGGGCCACAUAAUCUCGGGAAAAGGUGUAGAGACUGACCCACAAAAAAUUGAGGAAGUUUCCAAUUGGCCUUUACCUCAAAACAUCACUCAGCUGAGAAGUUUCCUAGGACUCACAGGAUACUAUAGGAGAUUUGUGCAAAACUAUGGAGAAAUAUGUAGACCCCUACAUGCCAUGCUUAAGAAAGAGGCUUUCCACUGGACGCCAAAACAAACCGCAGCUUUCAACCAACUCAAGCACAAGCUAACAUCAGCACCUGUCCUGGCACUACCCAACUUCUCACUCCCCUUCCAGCUGGAAACUGAUGCCAGUGGUACUGUACUUGGGGCUGUUCUGAUGCAGCAAAACAGGCCUAUUGCGUACUUCAGCAAGUCUUUAGGACCCAAAUCUGCUGCCCUCUCCACGUAUGAAAAGGAAGCACUCGCAAUCCUUGAGGCAUUAAAGAAAUGGAGGCACUAUGUUGUUGGCAACGAGCUGCACAUCAAAACUGAUCAAAAGAGCCUGAAAUUCAUAACUGAGCAGAAGGUUUCAGAAGGAAUACAACAUAAAUUACUCCUCAAACUCCUAGAAUUCAACUACAAGAUUGACUAUAAGAAGGGCAACACUAACAAGGCUGCGGAUGCUCUCAGCAGAAAAGGAAGCACACUCAUGGCCACAACCAUCAUAACACCUACCUGGAUUGAAUCAGUUGAAAAGAGCUACGAGCAGGACCCCAAGUGCCAGGAACUCCUGCAGAAACUCCUAAUUGCAGCAGAUGCGGAGAAACACUACACACUGACAGCUGGCGUAUUAAGAUACAAGGGCAGGAUUCUUAUAGGCAAUGAUGAAGAUCUCAAGCACCAGCUCAUCGACUCCCUCCACUCCUCUGCUGUAGGAGGGCACUCUGGAAUUGUUGCCAACUACCAAAGAAUCAAAAGGUUGUUCUAUUGGCCCGGCAUGAAAAAGGAUGUGGAAAAGUUCAUCACUGAAUGCCCGGUUUGCCAAAGAGCUAAAGCAGAGCAUUGUCAAUACCCAGGCCUAUUAGACCCCCUUCCUCUCCGAGACAUGGCGUGGGCACACUUGACCAUGGACUUCAUCGAGGGUCUACCAAAAUCCAGUGGAAAAGAAGUCAUACUCGUAGUGGUGGACAGAUAUACUAAGUACACCCAUUUCAUCUCCCUCCCUCACCCUUACAAUGUGAACAUGGUGGCCCAAGCUUUCAUGGACAAUGUUUUCAAGUUACAUGGCCCGCCAAUCAGCAUUGUGACGGACCGGGACAGAAUCUUCACAAGUAACAUGUGGGAGGGGAUAUUCAAAGCAAUGAAAAUCAAGCUCAGACUCAGCACUGCUUACCAGACUCAGAGUGACGGCCAGACCAAGCGAGUCAACCAAUGUUUGGAAUCGUAUCUCAGAUGCAUGGUUUUCCAAGAGCCCAAGAAAUGGCACUCCUGGCUUCCCCUAGCAGAGUGGUGGUACAAUACCACAUACCACACCGCUACUAAGUUCACUCCAUUUCAGGCUUUGUACAGCUACCCACCUCCCCUGAUCAGUGAAAUAGCCAUUCCUGGUCCUGUGGACACUGAUGCCAGGGACUUCUAG